rnacentral:rRNA from 1 species
AGAGUUUGAUCCCGGCUCAGGAUAAACGCUGGCGGCGUGCUUAAUGCAUGCAAGUCGAACGGUUUGAUAUUGAAAGCUUGCUUUUGAUGUCAGAUAGUGGCAAACGGGUGAGUAGCGCGUAAGUAACCUACCCUUAAGUAAGGAAUAACACCGAGAAAUCGAUGCUAAUACCACAUGUGAUGCUGAAGGUAAUGCUUUAGCAUUAAAGCCUUUGGGUGCUUGGGGAUGGGCUUGCGUCCGAUUAGCUAGUUGGUGAGGUAAUGGCCUACCAAGGCAAAGAUCGGUAGCUGGUCUGAGAGGAUGGUCAGCCACACUGGGACUGCGACACGGCCCAGACUCCUACGGGAGGCAGCAGCGAGGAAUAUUGUGCAAUGGGCAAAAGCCUGACACAGCGACGCCGCGUGGGGGAUGAAGGCCUUCGGGUUGUAAACCCCUUUUCUCAGGGAAGAAUAAUGACGGUACCUGGGGAAUAAGCCAUGGCUAACUACGUGCCAGCAGCAGCGGUAAACGUGGGUGGCAAGCGUUAUCCGGAUUUAUUGGGUGUAAAGAGGGCGCAGGCGGCUUUUCAAGUCAGACGUAAAAUCUCCCGGCUUAACCUGGAGGGAUCGUUUGAUACUGAGAGGCUUGAGGGCAAUAGGGGGAGGUAGAACUUCCGGUGUAGUGGUGAAAUGCGUAGAUAUCGGAAGGAAUUCCAGUGGCGAAGGCGACCUCCUGGAUUGUUUCUGACGCUUAAGCCCGAAGGCGUGGGGAGCGAACAGGAUUAGAUACCCUGGUAGUCCACGCAGUAAACGAUGGAUACUAGGUAUAGGGAGUAUCGACCCUUCCUGUGCCGUAGCUAACGCGUUAAGUAUCCCGCCUGGGAAGUACGGCCGCAAGGCUAAAACUCAAAGGAAUUGACGGGGGCCCGCACAAGCAGCGGAGCGUGUGGUUUAAUUCGAUUCAAAGCGAAGAACCUUACCAAGGCUUGACAUGGAUGAAGUAGUGAACCGAAAGGGGAACGACCUGUAAAGUCAGGAGCUUCACAGGUGCUGCAUGGCUGUCGUCAGCUCGUGCCGUGGGGUGUUUGGUUAAGUCCUGCAACGAGCGCAACCCCUGUUGCCAGUUGUAUUCUCUGGCGAGACUGCCUCGCAAAACGGGGAGGAAGGUAGGGAUGACGUCAAGUCAGUAUGGCCCUUAUGCCUUGGGCUACACACACGCUACAAUGGGUGGUACAAUGGGUAGCAAGAGAGCAAUCUGGAGCUAAUCCUUAAAGCCAUCCUAAGUUCGGAUUGCAGGCUGAAACUCGCCUGCAUGAAGGUGGAGUUGCUAGUAACCGCAGGUCAGCACACUGCGGUGAAUACGUUCUCGGGCCUUGUACACACCGCCCGUCACGUCAUGAAAGUUGGCAACACCUGAAGUCAAUGGGCUAACCUUAUUUAUUGAGGAGGCAGUUGCCUAAGGUGGGUUAAUGAUUGGGACGAAGUCGUAACAAGGUA